CCUACGGGAGGCAGCAGUGGGGAAUAUUGCACAAUGGGCGCAAGCCUGAUGCAGCGACGCCGCGUGGGGGAUGAAGGCCUUCGGGUUGUAAACUCCUUUCGCUAGGGACGAAGCUUUUUGUGACGGUACCUAGAUAAGAAGCACCGGCUAACUACGUGCCAGCAGACGCGGUAAUACGUCGGGUGCGAGCGUUGUACGGAAUUACUGGGCGUAGAGGGCUCGUAGGUGGUUUGUCGCGUCGGAUGUGAAAUUCUGGGGCUUAACUCCUGACGUGCAGGCGAUACGGACAUAAAUUGAGUGCUGUAGGGGUAACUGGAAUUCCUGGUGUAGCGGUGAAAUGCGCAGAUAUCAGUAUGAACACCGAUGGCGAAGGCAGGUUACUGGGCAGUUACUGACGCUGAGGAGCGAAAGCAUGGGUAGCGAACAGGAUUAGAUACCCUUGUAGUC
rnacentral:rRNA from 1 species